rnacentral:rRNA from 1 species
CUUGGUCAUUUAGAGGAAGUAAAAGUCGUAACAAGGUUUCCGUAGGUGAACCUGCGGAAGGAUCAUUACAAGUGAGGCUACCGAACGUUGGAAACAGCGGUUAGGAGCUUACACCCACCCGUGUUUACAUACUAUUGUUGCUUUGGCGGGCCGUGGCCUCCACUGCGGGCUCUGCUCGUGUGUGCCCGCCAGAGAACCAAACUCUGAAUGUUAGUGAUGUCUGAGUACUAUCUAAUAGUUAAAACUUUCAACAACGGAUCUCUUGGUUCUGGCAUCGAUGAAGAACGCAGCGAAAUGCGAUAAGUAAUGUGAAUUGCAGAAUUCAGUGAAUCAUCGAAUCUUUGAACGCACAUUGCGCCCUGUGGUAUUCCGCAGGGCAUGCCUGUUCGAGCGUCAUUUAACCACUCACGCCUAGCGUGGUAUUGGGGCACGCGGUCUCCGCGGCCCUCAAAAUUAGUGGCGGCGCCGGUGGGCUCUAAGCGUAGUACAUACUCCCGCUAUAGAGUUCCCCCCGGUGGCUCGCCAGAACCCCCAAUUCUUUACAGGUUGACCUCGGAUCAGGUAGGGAUACCCGCUGAACUUAAGCAUAUCAAUAAGCGGAGGA